rnacentral:sRNA from 2 species
ACACACCAUCCGCUUAAGCCAAACAAUGGUGAGCGUGGGAAGCACCUGUUUGGCGCGGGGGACCCAAAACCUGACGUGAUCGCCUGGCGAUCUUGGGGUGAAGUCCCAAAGUGGACCGGACACUCCAGUCCGAACCCGACAGCUGACCUCGUAAGCGAAUAAGUGGAGAUUU